rnacentral:rRNA from 1 species
GACGAACGCUGGCGGCGUGCUUAACACAUGCAAGUCGAACGGAAAGGCCCUGCUUUUGUGGGGUGCUCGAGUGGCGAACGGGUGAGUAACACGUGAGUAACCUGCCCUUGACUUUGGGAUAACUUCAGGAAACUUGGGCUAAUACCGGAUAGGAGCUCCUGCUGCAUGGUGGGGGUUGGAAAGUUUCGGCGGUUGGGGAUGGACUCGCGGCUUAUCAGCUUGUUGGUGGGGUAGUGGCUUACCAAGGCUUUGACGGGUAGCCGGCCUGAGAGGGUGACCGGCCACAUUGGGACUGAGAUGCGGCCCAGACUCCUACGGGAGGCAGCAGUGGGGAAUAUUGCACAAUGGGCGGAAGCCUGAUGCAGCAACGCCGCGUGCGGGAUGACGGCAUUCGGGUUGUAAACCGCUUUCGCCUGUGACGAAGCGUGAGUGACGGUAAUGGGUAAAGAAGCACCGGCUAACUACGUG